rnacentral:lncRNA from 1 species
GUGGGAAGAAUACCUCUCGAAUAAAGUAAUGCUUUGCAUGGUAGCCGGCCCCAACAACUUCCACAGGAAAACCUUCACCCUUGGUGCCACCUCAAGUCACCAAAUCUAGCUAAAGUCCAUAACAGGUUCUUGAUUUUGAUUCCUGGCUUUCUGAAUAUGACAAUAAAUAUUAGCCAUCCGAACAUUGGUUCCCGUAAUGCCACAACAUCCAAGUUAGUCUUGACAGUGAUUCCUGG